UACAGAGGGGCCCAGUGUUACUCCUCGGAAUUUGGCGUAAAGGGUAUGUAGGCGGUUUAAUAAUCCUUCAUUUUAGCAACAUGACAUAAUCGUGGUGAAUUUGAAGGGACUGUUAAACUAGAGUUUAAACGAGUUAUUUAGACUAUAUUUCUUAAAGCAGAAGUGAAAUGCGGAGACUUUAAGAGGGGUACCAAAUGGCGAAGGCAAGUUAACAGUUUAAACUGACGCUAAGGUACGGAGGCGAGAGUAUCAAACGGG
rnacentral:misc_RNA from 1 species